rnacentral:rRNA from 1 species
AGAGCGCAGGGUGGAUGCCUUGGCACUAAGAGCCGAAGAAAGACGUGAUAAGCUGCGAAAAGCUGCGGGGAGAUGCAAAUAAUCCUUGAUCCGCAGAUGUCUGAAUGGGGAAACCCGGUACGAAGAACUCGUAUCAUCCAUACGCCAAUCCAUAACGUAUGGAGGGGAACCCGGUGAACUGAAACAUCUAAGUAGCCGGAGGAAGAGAAAGAAACAUCGAUUUUGUUAGUAGCGGCGAGCGAAAGCGAAAGAGGCCAAACCGGAGUGCGUGCACUCCGGGGUUCGGACCGCAUUUAAGAUUCAGUGAUUCUAGCAGAAAGGUUUGGGAAAGCCUGCCGGAGAGGGUGAAAGCCCCGUAAGCGAAAGGAAAGCUGACUGAGCGGGAUCCAGAGUACAUCGAGACACGAGAAACCUUGAUGGAAUGAGCGGGGACCACCCCGUAAGCCUAAAUACUACUUAGUGACCGAUAGCGCAUAGUACUGUGAAGGAAAGGUGAAAAGGACCCCGGGAGGGGAGUGAAAGAGAACCUGAAACCCUGUGUUUACAAGCUGUGGAAGUUCUUUAAAUGAACAACCGCGUACUUUUUGUAGAACGGUCCGGCGAGUUGCGGAUACUGGCAAGGUUAAGCACUUAAGGUGCGGAGCCGAAGGGAUACCAAGUCUUAACAGGGCGUUAAGUCAGUAUACGCAGACCCGAAACCGGGUGAUCUAUCCAUGUCCAGGUUGAAGUUGUCGUAAAAGACAAUGGAGGACCGAAGCCACAUCCGUUGAAAAGGGUGGGCAUGAGGUGUGGAUAGGGGAGAAAUUCCAAUCGAACCCGGAGAUAGCUGGUUCUCCUCGAAAUAGCUUUAGGGCUAGCCUCGAUUUAGUCUUAUGGAGGUAGAGCACUGAAUUUCCGCGGGGGCGUCAAAGCUUACCAAAGAAUAUCAAACUCCGAAUGCCAUGUAGAUGAUGAUCGGGAGUCAGACUGCACGAGAUAAGUUGGGCAGUCAAAAGGGAAAGAGCCCAGACCACCGGCUAAGGUCCCAAAGUGCGUGUUAAGUGGAAAAGGAUGUGGGAAUUCGAAGACAACUAGGAUGUUGGCUCAGAAGCAGCCAUACAUUCAAAGAGUGCGUAACAGCUCACUAGUCGAGAGUUCCUGCGCCGAAAAUGUCCGGGGCUGAAACACGACACCGAAGCCGUGGACUCGCAAUGCGAGUGGUAGAGGAGCAUUCUUAAAACCGACGAAGCUGUACCGGAAGGAGCAGUGGAGGGAUAAGAAGAGAGAAUGCCGGAAUGAGUAGCGAGAGAAAGGUGGGAAUCCUUUCGGCCGAAUAUCUAAGGUUUCCAGAGUAAAGCUGAUCUGCUCUGGGUAAGUCGGGGCCUAAGCACAGGUCGCAAGACGUAAGCGAUGGAUAACAGGUUUAGAUUCCUGUACCACGCAUUAUCAGAACUGUAGGGACGCAUGUGGAAAGCACGAGCCGGGAAUGGAAAGACCGGUACAAGCGGGGUAGGUGUACAAUAGGCAAAUCCGUUGUAUAAUCCGAAGACGUGAUGUGGAGCGAAAUAAAGUAGCAAAGCGUGUGAGCCAUGUGCCGAGAAAAGCUGCUAUUGUGUAAUGCGUGCCCGUACCGUAAACCGACACAGGUGGAUGAGGAGAGAAUCCUAAGGCCGACGGAAGAAGCAUUGUUAAGGAAUUCGGCAAAAUGACCCCGUAACUUCGGGAGAAGGGGUGCCUGCGAGAGCAGGCCGCAGAGAAUAGGCUCAAGCAACUGUUUAGCAAAAACACAGGUCUAUGCGAAACCGAAAGGUGAAGUAUAUGGGCUGACGCCUGCCCGGUGCUGGAAGGUUAAGAGGAGAGGUUAGCGUAAGCGAAGCUUUGAAUUUAAGCCCCAGUAAACGGCGGCCGUAACUAUAACGGUCCUAAGGUAGCGAAAUUCCUUGUCGGGUAAGUUCCGACCCGCACGAAAGGCGUAAUGAUUUGAGCACUGUCUCGACAAUGCAUCCGGUGAAAUUGAAGUACCAGUGAAGAUGCUGGUUACCCGCGCCAGGACGGAAAGACCCCAUGGAGCUUUACUCCAGUUUGAUACUGGGAUUCGGUACUGCAUGUACAGGAUAGGUGGGAGACGAAGAAGGAUGGACGCCAGUCUGUCCGGAGUCGCUGUUGGGAUACCACCCCUGUAGUACUGGGUUUCUAACCAGUUGCCAUGAACUGGCAAUGGGACAAUGUCAGGCGGGGAGUUUGACUGGGGCGGUCGCCUCCGAAAGGGUAUCGGAGGCGCUCAAAGGUUCCCUCAGAAUGGUUGGAAACCAUUUGAAGAGUGCAAAGGCAGAAGGGAGCUUGACUGCGACACCGACGGGUGGAGCAGGUACGAAAGUAGGACUUAGUGAUCCGGUGGUAUAAAGUGGGAUUGCCAUCGCUCAACGGAUAAAAGCUACCCUGGGGAUAACAGGCUUAUCACUCCCAAGAGUUCACAUCGACGGAGUGGUUUGGCACCUCGAUGUCGGCUCAUCGCAUCCUGGGGCUGUAGCAGGUCCCAAGGGUUGGGCUGUUCGCCCAUUAAAGCGGUACGCGAGCUGGGUUCAGAACGUCGUGAGACAGUUCGGUCCCUAUCCGGCGCGGGCGAAGGAUAUUUGAGAGGAGCUGUCCUUAGUACGAGAGGACCGGGAUGGACGGACCACUGGUGUAUCUGUUGUCGACCAACGGCAUGGCAGAGUAGCCAAGUCUGGAAGGGAUAAACGCUGAAGGCAUCUAAGCGUGAAGCCCCCCUCAAGAUGAGAUAUCCCUCCUAUAAGGAGUAAGACCCCUUGA